rnacentral:tRNA from 2 species
GCGGUCUUAGUAUAGUGGUCUAGUACAGCUCGUUGUGGAUUUGAAUCGCCUAGAUUCGCUUCUUCUGAGCCGAGCAGACGGAUGUUCGAUUCCUCCAGACCGCA